rnacentral:rRNA from 1 species
UACCAGCUCUUCGAGUGGUGUGGAUGUUUAUUGGGCCUAAAGCAUCCGUAGCUGGCUGGGCAAGUCCCCUGUUAAAUCCACCGAUUUAAUCGUUGGAGUGCGGGGGAUACUGUUCGGCUAGGGGACGGGAGAGGCAGACGGUAUUUUCGGGGUAGGGGUGAAAUCCUAUAAUCCCGGGAAGACCACCAGUGGCGAAGGCUGUCUGAUAGAACGCGCCCGACGGUGAGGGAUGAAAGCUGGGGGAGCGAACCGGAUUAGAUACCCGGGUAGUCCCAGCUGUAAACGAUGCAGGCUAGGUGUUUGGGCGGCCACGUGCCGCUCUAGUGCCGCAGGGAAGCCGUUAAGCCUGCCGCCUGGGGAGUACGGCCGCAAGGCUGAAACUUAAAGGAAUUGGCGGGGAGCACCACAAGGGGUGAAGCUUGCGGUUU